rnacentral:rRNA from 1 species
UACGUAGGGGGCUAGCGUUGUCCGGAUUUAUUGGGCGUAAAGAGCGUGUAGGCGGCCUGGUAGGUCUGCUGUGAAAACUCGAGGCUCAACCUCGAGCUGUCGGCGGAAACCAUCUGGCUAGAGUCCGGAAGAGGAGAAUGGAAUUCCCGGUGUAGCGGUGAAAUGCGCAGAUAUCGGGAAGAACACCCGUGGCGAAGGCGGUUCUCUGGGACGGUACUGACGCUGAGACGCGAAAGCGUGGGGAGCGAACAGG